rfam:Aedes aegypti strain Liverpool supercont1.629 genomic scaffold, whole genome shotgun sequence.
AAAUCAGUCCUUUUCAGGACUACAGCACAUAUUGCACAAAAGAGUU